GACGAACGCUGGCGGCGUGCCUAAUACAUGCAAGUAGAACGCAGUUGCGAACGGGUGAGUAACGCGGAGGAAACGGCCCCAUAGCGGGGGAUACCAAUUGGAAACGAAAGCUAAUACAGCACAGUGUGAGAUGGACCUGCGUUGUAUUAGUUAGUGGGUGGGGUAAAGGCUCACCAAGGCGACGAUACAUAGCCGACCUAAGAGGGUGAGCGGCCACACUGGGACUGAGACACGGCCCAGACUCCUACGGGAGGCAGCAGUAGGGAAUCUUCGGCAAUGGACGGAAGUCUGACCGAGCAACGCCGCGUGAGUGAAGACGGUUUUCGGAUCGUAAAGCUCUGUUGUUAGAGAAGCGGUAACUGACCAGAAAGUGACGGCUAACUACGUGCCAGCAGCCGCGGUAAUUC
rnacentral:rRNA from 1 species